AGGCAAUUUGUAUAGUUGCUUAGUUGAAGUGUGCCUUGAGGAAGAGUUUGAUUUAUUUUGAGUUGAACUAAUAUUUAAAGAUGCCACGAGAAGUCAAAUACAAUAAUGAGAAGAAAAGAAGAAAAGUAUCUUGCAAAGCUACUUUUGCUUUUGGAACAAGAAACGAACGAAAAAAUUUAAAUUGAUCAAUUAAUAACGAAAGAUGAAAAGCCGAAACCAAUUUAUAGGUCUCGACUGUGUUAGAAUUACGGAAUCAAAGCGGGAUCUAAAAGAAGAAUUGCCUGAGUGCUUUCCAAAUCGAGAAAGUUUUGGAGCAAGUUACCCAGACCGUUGAGGUGAUCUCAAAACUACAAGACGACGUCACAAAGGACUCCACAACGAACAAGUGAAAUGAACAAAGUACAAACAAAACAACGCGUAACUGAGCAAAUGAAAAUUUAUACUUUAAAUAAGUAGGAGAAAGCCAAAAUAACGCUGGGACCAAGUUCCCAACCCAAUGGCAUUUGCUUAGCUGUAACACGGACUAAACACGGCGGAGAUAAAUCACAAAAUAAAAAAAAAAACCGUAAGUAAGUCAAGGGGAAAAGACGCAGGUUAAUGGAUUUCUCUUGUGAUAUUUGACUUUAGUGAGAAAAGCUGACCCAACCCAAUUUUCGGACCAGGUCUAUAUAAAUAUAUUCUCACUGUAUUUUUAACCUUUA